rnacentral:rRNA from 1 species
AGUGAACGCUGGCGGUAGGCCUAACACAUGCAAGUCGAACGGCAGCACAGUAAGAGCUUGCUCUUACGGGUGGCGAGUGGCGGACGGGUGAGGAAUACAUCGGAAUCUACUUUUUCGUGGGGGAUAACGUAGAGAAACUUACGCUAAUACCGCAUACGACCUACGGGUGAAAGCAGGGGAUCUUCGCACCUUGCGCGAUUGAAUGAGCCGAUGUCGGAUUAGCUAGUUGGCUGGGUAAAGGCCCACCAAGGCGACGAUCCGUAGCUGGUCUGAGAGGAUGAUCAGCCACACUGGAACUGAGACACGGUCCAGACUCCUACGGGAGGCAGCAGUGGGGAAUAUUGGACAAUGGGCGCAAGCCUGAUCCAGCCAUACCGCGUGGGUGAAGAAGGCCUUCGGGUUGUAAAGCCCUUUUGUUGGGAAAGAAAAGCAGCAGGUUAAUACCCCGCUGUUCUGACGGUACCCAAAGAAUAAGCACCGGCUAACUUCGUG